rnacentral:rRNA from 1 species
UACGUAGGGGGCAAGCGUUGUCCGGAUUCAUUGGGCGUAAAGAGCGUGUAGGCGGCCAGGUAGGUCGGUUGUGAAAACUGGAGGCUCAACCUUCAGAGGUCGACCGAAACCAUCUGGCUAGAGUCCGGGAGAGGAGAGUGGAAUUCCUGGUGUAGCGGUGAAAUGCGCAGAUAUCAGGAGGAACACCGGUGGCGAAGGCGGAUCUCUGGGCCUUACCUGACGCUCAGGCGCGAAAGCUAGGGGAGCGAACAGG